GACGAACGCUGGCGGCGUGCUUAACACAUGCAAGUCGAACGAUGAAGCCUAGCUUGCUAGGUGGAUUAGUGGCGAACGGGUGAGUAAUACGUGAGUAACCUACCUUUAACUCUGGGAUAAGCCUGGGAAACUGGGUCUAAUACCGGAUACGACCAAUCUCCGCAUGGGGUGUUGGUGGAAAGCGUUAUGUAGUGGUUAUAGAUGGGCUCACGGCCUAUCAGCUUGUUGGUGAGGUAACGGCUCACCAAGGCGACGACGGGUAGCCGGCCUGAGAGGGUGACCGGCCACACUGGGACUGAGACACGGCCCAGACUCCUACGGGAGGCAGCAGCGGGGAAUAUUGCACAAUGGGCGCAAGCCUGAUGCAGCGACGCCGCGUGAGGGAUGACGGCCUUCGGGUCGUAAACCUCUGUUAGCAGGGAAGAAGAGAGAUUGACGGUACCUGCAGAGAAAGCGCCGGCUAACUACGUG
rnacentral:rRNA from 1 species